rnacentral:lncRNA from 1 species
CUUCAGCAGUUGGACCGCUACGCCUCCGCCUCCCUCCGGCCCCGGGACCUGCGCAAGCGCGACGCGCCCCCUCCCGUCCCGCCCCUUUCUUUCUGCCGCGCGGCCCCAUGGGAAUUGUAGUUCUCUGCUGCAGAGUCAACCUGAGCUCCGCCCUGACCCCGCGCCAUGAGGGACGGAGGAACUACUAAUCCUAGCAUGCAUAGCGCGGCCACGGACCCACUUUUUUUUUUUUUUUUUUUUUUCAGUACCGGGAAAACAGGAGCGUGUGAUUGGGGUUUACAGUGUUUUCUCUCGCUCUCUCUGUUUCUAGGGAAUUCGGGCUGUGUUUAGCUGCUGGAAUAUCGUAGAAUUGGUUUUCAGAGAAGUUCCUCGACUCCUGAGGCGAAACAUAAAGGGAUGGGAGUGGUGUGGGAAGUGAUCGUGUGGGGAAAAAAAAGUUUCGAGCCCGUUUCGCAUUUGUGGAGACAGAGUUUUUGGUGUGACCACUCUUUUGUGGGAAACCCAAACCAAGGAGAACUCAGGAGAAUUGGCGCUCUUCGGUCCUGGAGGUUCCGCAGCUAACAUCCCGGCUUGACCAACUAUCGAGGCCGCAAAUUAAUAGGGCACCUCCUGGGAGGAAAACGCCCAUCCUGACUUCUCAACUGUGACAGGUCCCCCUCACAAACGCCUUGCGGGGGGGUGGGGGGGCGUUUCUAAACACUUGCAUGUUCUUACAAGGGAAAUGUUUUUAUUCUUGGGCGCACCAAGUUGGCCGCCUCCUGAGGUGGAGUACGGACCAGUUGACAACAGGGCUCCUUUUCACCUCCACGCCCAACCUUUUCCAUUUCUCCUCAAACGGUUUUGGAGAAGGGCGGAGUCAUAUCAUUUUAAAGGAAACUUGGAACCUCACCAAUACAAACGCUGGUCGAAUGUUCCCAGAAACUUCCCUGCAUUAGCUCUACCGGGCGCGGGGAGCAGAAAGCGCAUUUCCUGAGUCCUGAAAAGCGCGUGCGCGCCUGUGUGCUGCCGGCGUUUGGGCGCGCCUGCUUUUUGCUCUGUCGCCCAGGAUGGAGUGCAGUGCAGUGGCGCGAUCCUGCAACCUCCGCCUCUCGAGUUCAAGCGAUUCUCCUGCCUCAGCCUCCCGAGUAGCUGGGAUUACAGACGCGCGCCACCCCACCCAGAUGAUCUUUUUAAAUGCAAAAUGCCAUCGACGCAGAAAAUCAAAGAAUCAGCUUAAGUUCCAGAAAAAAGAAAAACCAACCAAAUGAACAAUAAGACAACAACAACAACAACAAAAAAGGCCUUUUGGGAUUUUGGAUGAUAUUGCAUCAAAUCCAUACAUUAACCUGAGAGACGAGCGACUUCUUCAACAUUGAGCCUUCCAAUCAUGAUUUUCAAUUCAUUUAGGUCUUCUGUAAUGUUUCUUAAUAUAAUUGUAUUUGUUGCUAUGCAGAAGUUUCACUGAUCUUUUAUUAUAUCUCUAUAUAUAUUUGAUAUUUCUGACACUAUUGUAAAUAGUAUCUUUUUAAUAUUUCAUUUUCCUUUUUUGUUGCUUAAAUAUAUAUAAAAUAAGCUAAUUUUCCAAACUAAUUUUUAUAUCCAGCAACCCUGCUAAAAUUUCUUAUCCAA